rnacentral:lncRNA from 1 species
AUGUCGACAGAUAUUUCAUCCCAGUUUUUCUGUUCUUCAGUCGCCCAAUGUUGAGACUUUGGACAUCUCUUGCUGAAGUCACCUAAGCUAGGUAACCAGAGGAUGACUGAAUUCUAUAGCUCCUCUGACAAGAAGUCUAUCCUGACCAUCCUCAAGGUCCUCGGAGAUCUGCUUUCUGUUGGCACAGACCGGAGAAUUCACUACAUGAUCAGCAAGGGUGGCAGUGAGGCUCUUCUGCAGACCCUGGUAGACACAGCGAGGACAGCUUCUCCAGACUAUGACAUCCUCCUGCCUCUCUUCCGGCUGCUGGCCAAAGUUGGCCUAAGAGAUAAAAAGAUUGGACAGAAGGCCCUGGAAUUGGAAGCACUUGAUGUGACAUUGAUUCUGGCCAGGAAGAACCUAUCCCAUGGCCAGAACCUCCUCCACUGUCUCUGGGCUCUGCGUGUGUUUGCCUCCAGUGUCUCCAUGGGAGCCAUGCUGGGAAUUAACGGAGCCAUGGAACUGCUUUUCAAGGUUAUUACUCCUUAUACCCAAAAGCGCACCCAAGCAAUCAGGUACAGAGUGCCAUGUAAUACUUUUGCCCUUUUUGUAACAGAUGGAGAGAUG